UGGAUGCCUGCCUGAGUGCUGAGCUGUGAGGGAGGCUCACAAGUUUCCCAGGACGGUGGGCCUCAGCCCAACCCCCGCCUCAGGCUUGCCCUGGUCUCUUCCUAGAAUCUGGCUGGAGGCUGGGGGGAGCUGCCAAGGUAUUGAGGGUCCCUCACCCUGUUGGCUCUCCGUGAGAAGCAGGAACCUUGCCAGAGAGUGGGGUGCUCCCUAAGGCUCCAGGGGGACUCUGGGACAAAGGAGCUGAUGGAGGAGGUGGAUUCUUAACCGCUGCGCCACCAGGGAAGUCCCCAGAGCUUGAUUCUUGAUGAGCACACAGGAAGCAUGGAGUUGCUGCUCUCCAAUCCAAGUUUCUCACCCUGCGAGAAAUUCAUCGUGGCGUGGCCCUCAGCAGACCCGUGCAGCAGCAAGCAGGGAUUUCCCUGGUGGCACAGUGGUUAAGAAUCUGCCUGCCAGUGCAGGGGACACAGGUUCGAUUCCUGGUCCGGGAAGAUCCCACAUGCUGCGGAGCAACUAAGCCUGUGCGCCACAACUACUGAGCCUGCGCUCUAGAGCCCACGAGCCACAACUACUGAAGCCUACGCGCCACAACUACUGAAGCCCGCGCGCCUAGAGCCCAUGCUCCGCAACAAGAGAAGCCACCGCAAUGAGAAGCCCGCGCACCGUGACGAAGAGUAGCCCCCACUCGCUGCAACUAGAGAAAGCCGGCGUGCAGCAACGAAGACCCAACACAGCCAAAAAGAAAUAAAUUUAAAAAAAACCAAAAAACCAAAAAACAAACAGCAAGCAGCCACUAUGUGCCAGGUGUCAAACUAGUAACAAAGAGACAGGACACAGGCCCUGCCCCCGAGAAGUCUAGUAGGAGAGUCAUGUGAAUGGUGACGAUAAUGUCUUAAAUGUCAAGAUAGAAGUACAAGACGCAUCAAAGGCCUGAGGAAGGAACUGUCUGUUCUUCCUGUGGGACACGAGAGCAAGGGUCUGUGCAAGGAGCUGGCUGAGGCAAGGGUCCAUGUGCUGCAGAAAGCUGUGUUAAGACAGGUACUGGGAUUGGGCUUUCUUGGGCCCAAGGGCUUAGCAAGUUGCCAGGGGUGUGAAACCACCAAGCAGCAGCUGGGAGCAGGCCUGGUGGUUUCAGGCAAGCUGCCUAUGGACGAACCGUGUGAUCUGGAGGAGUCUGACAAGUGGGUUCCAGCUCCCACUCCUUCACAUAUGGACUGGGUGGCCUGGAGCCCCACACUUUACCUCUCCGCGCUCCAUUUCCUCAUGUCUAAAGCGAUGAUUACGAGAUGUGAGUAAAUGGGAUGGUACAUGUGAAGGACCUCCGACAGAGCCCAGGCCUGCCUGCAGUUUAUGGAUAAACAGGAGCUAGCCUAUCUCCCCCACAGGGUUCCCUGGAGGCAGGACUGGGUGUCGGGGGCCACGUGGAGGAAGGGGCAGUGGGGCUCCAGGUCUGUGAGGAGGGACCCAACCCCACUCUUGCUCUGUCAGGGGCGUCUUUGUGGGGCUGAGAGGUGGUGUUCUUUGGUGGAUCCCAAGAUGGGGAGGGGGCCUUAAAUAGCCUAGGCCUGGUUAGUCACAGGGGCUGCCCGUGUAAGCCUGGCUGGCUUGUGCUCCUUUGGUUUCCUUUUUCUCGUCUUUUCUAAAUUAGGCCCCUUUGGGCAAUGGCAAUGCCAGCUUAUCUGUGUCAACUGUGCCCAAUAGCCAGGGCUUGGCCUAUCUGACCCUGGGACCCUGGUCAGGGUCUAGGGGAGAGCAGCAUUCAGGAAUCUUCUAGAGUGCAGAGGCUCUGAGAUGGGCCUGACCAAAGGAGGCUGGCCUGCUCCAAGGAUGGCGCUCCCUCAGCUCUCCAGGACCCUGGCUCAGGCCUGAGGCUCAGGUUGGGCAAAGCAUCACAAAUAUCGGUGGUCUUUUCAAGAGCCCAGUGUUGACCUGGCCUUCGUGCAGGCUGCCCCGUGAGGGGCUCCACCAAGACGAGCCUUGUGAAAGGCCAGUUACCUGCCAGUGCUUGGCAUCUAAAAUAGAAUCUGGAGAAGCAGCAAAGCCUUUAAUUCAAUGUGUCUCGACAGCGGGUCGGUGUGGGGAUAACUAUGAUCCGACUGGUCUUGAGUUAUAAUUACGGAGUCAGAGUAAAAAAUUACAGGCAUUGUGUGGGAUUGUUUUAAAUAUAACGUAAUCCAUACCAUCCUCUCUCUUAUUUGCUAGAUUUGAGGUGGAGUCUUUGGCCUUUGGCACAGGUUCUGCCUGACGUGUAGCAGAUAAAAAUGGCCCUUGCCCAGUGAAAAGGGCACAGGAGGAGGCCUCCCCAGACCCCUAAUGUUCCCGACUGCCCACGGCCCAUAACCCACAAGCCCACGUGCGAACGGGUCUGUGCAGGCCUCUGUGUUGUUCACAUUAUCUGUGUGCCGCACCUCCCCAACCAACCUCCCUGUCGCCAGCCUCCCCCAGCCAGUCUACCAGAAACAUCUCUGUAAAACACAGUCUUGAGGCGUAAGAACCCAUUAAUGGUGCCCCUCUGUCUACAGGGUAAAUCCAAACUCCAAGUCCUUUCAGGUCUUGGCCCCAAACCACCUUUCAGCAUGGUAUCUGGGAACGAAGAACAGCCAAAGACCAGAGGUGAAGUACAGGCCAGAGGUGAAGUACAGACCAGAGGUGAAGUACAGACCAGAGGUGAAGUACAGGCCAGAGGUGAAGUACAGGCCAGAGGCACAUGUUAUUGGUUCAAACUUUCCGGAAAGCAAAACAGAAAGACUAAAAACAUGUUUAUACCCCUAUGAGUAUGAAUUUAAUCUAA